UGGGGAAUUUUCCGCAAUGGGCGAAAGCCUGACGGAGCAAUGCCGCGUGGAGGUGGAAGGCCUACGGGUCGUCAACUUCUUUUCUCGGAGAAAAACAAUGACGGUAUCUGAGGAAUAAGCAUCGGCUAACUCUGCGCCAG
rnacentral:rRNA from 1 species